UGGGGAAUUUUGGACAAUGGGCGCAAGCCUGAUCCAGCCAUGCCGCGUGGAUGAUGAAGGCCUUAGGGUUGUAAAAUCCUUUCGUUGGGGGCGAUAAUGACGGUACCCAAAGAAGAAGCUCCGGCUAACUUCGUGCCAGCAGCCGCGGUAAUACGAAGGGGGCUAGCGUUGUUCGGAUUUACUGGGCGUAAAGCGCGUGUAGGCGGGUCGUUAAGUUGGGGGUGAAAUCCCGAGGCUCAACCUCGGAACUGCCUUCAAAACUGGCGACCUGGACCUAAGUAGAGGCAAGUGGAAUUGCGAGUGUAGAGGUGAAAUUCGUAGAUAUUGGGAAGAACACCAGUGGCGAAGGCGGCUAACUGGUCCGGUACUGACGCUGAGGUGCGAAAGCGUGGGGAGCAAACAGGAUUAGAUACCCGGGUAGUCCCUGAGCGGGCUGGCAAGGCGCAU
rnacentral:rRNA from 1 species